UGAUCGGGAUGAGAAAUUUGAGAAAUAAAUGGUGUGGCAAGUGAAGAGACUUUAUGAAGACAUUUGAAUUUGUUGAAAUUUGUUUUACGGAUAUGGAAAAAGGGACUACUGGGCAUUAGUCUGAAGUCUGAACUAAUAAUAUUUUCUAAUGUUGUAACUGGGGGCCCAUUAGGAAUUGAUUUCCAAAAUCUGAUUGGUUCGUUUUGUUUCCAGAAAUGAGAUUUCUAUCAUGUGGCCCUUCACCUUUUCCUGAUAAUUGAACUCAAAAGCCCUACCUAAAAUCUUUAACAGGAAAAAGUCCAAAAUCAGAAAUGGAUAUCCAAUAUUAUUAUCCCUUUCAAUGCCAGACAAGCCAGUUUUGCUUUUCCCAUUUUCUUUUGAUAGAAAGUUUUGCUUUUCCUAUGAGGAGAAAGUUUUCCCUCAUCCAUAGACAAUGUUGAAGAGAGAAUCUUUUGAUGUGAUCUUAUGAUUAGAUUCUUGGACAUUAUGUCCCACCUUAAAAGUAUAAUAAAAGUAGACACCCUAUAAGCUCAGAAACCUGUCGUCUUAAACUCACAUUUUUAAGUAAAAGUCACGAGGUUCAAACUUGAAAUAUACUUGUGAGCAUGAAUUUUUUGUACAUCACAAUUCAUCAUCUAAAUUAGCAGUUGUUCAUCAUCAUUAAACUUUACUCUAGUGUUCUCGCGGUCAAAAUUAUCUUCCUUUGUCCAAUCCAAGGGUCAGAUACCGUGUGUAAGAGGUUUCCUCUUUAGUGUGGAUAAGGGAAACUGGGUCGUCUUCCUUAUUUAUAGGGUCACGUUUAGGUAAUCCUUUCAAUUAAUGUAAGACUUUUUUUUUAUUUCAAGUUUUUGGGAUUGUGACUAAAAUGUGACGUGUUCUUUGUUGUCUACGUGUUCAAUUGGAAGUUCUCCUUCGCCAAAUCUGAAAGCCAUUAAGCUUGGACAUCAAGACACUAUAUUCCGAUCCGAGGGUAGAUAGUCGGGGUCUACGACGACCUUAGCUCUAGCACUUGGGUCUCAUUCAACGGUUUUCACGUGUUUUUACCUUUUGCCCUUCUCUCUUCUCUCUGUCUUGGCGGGGACCAUCUCGGUUGCGCAAACCACGUAGCCGUCUUUUAUAGUCUUUAUAGGACGUGUCCAAUUCUUAUUGGUUUAUGUAGCUAAACUUUUGGAUCACUUUGCCGACUUCACAAGCACUUUAUAUCAUUUCACACGUACCCACACGUGUCAAUAUGUCACUUUCCACGUCGGUAAGUUCUCGCCGAAACCGGACACGUAGGAGUGAAAAGUCACUCGCGAGGAUAGAGAGAAAAACUAAAAGAAGAGAGAGAAGGUGAAGUUUUAAACAGGCUAAACAUAAACAGCAGAGCUCAGUCUUCCACAUCUGAAGCUCUGUUAAUGGCGAUAUUCACUUAAAACUCUUUCUUUAGGUUUAUUAUUUAACAGAAAUUUACUUUCUUCUUCUUCGUCUCGCCCAAUCUUUGUAUAUUUCUUAUACUGAAUCGAAGUUUGAUUAAGGUCGAACGAAGGUUAGCAUUUACUUCUUUCGGAACUACAAUUGAUCAGUUUUGAUCCAGAAUCCAUUUUUCUUCUUCCGGAUUUAAAGAUUUUCAUGAUUUUUCUGAGGAAGAGAAGUCGGAUGGAAUAGUCAUUGGUUCAGUUUUCGUUUCGAGAAUUUCUGUUUAUAUCAUAUAGUUAGUGUUCCGUAUUUCUAAUUGGGAAUGCAAUCUUGUCCAGGAUCCUUUGAUUUUUCAUAUCUUGGAUCCUUGAUCAGAGAUCUAUAAAUGAAAUGGAUGCUACUAAUCAGGAUCAAUCUAUUGCGAGAUUUGAUUUCAACCGUCACAGCUUGAAUUUGAAUUUGGAGUGCCGUAGCAGCAGGUUUCAAGGUUUUUUUUUGUUUAAGGUUAAGAGUAGAUAAGUAAAGAAAUGGAGAAGCCUUGUGAAUUCUGUGCAAAAUCAAGACCAGUUGUUUACUGUAAGGCAGAUGCAGCACAUCUUUGCCUUUCAUGUGAUUCACGGGCUCAUUCAGCAAAUGCCUUAUCCCGACGACAUUACCGAGCCCUUCUUUGUGAAAGUUGCAGAAACCAUCCAGCUUCUCUUCGAUGCAUGGAUCAUCGGAUGCUUAUGUGUGUGGGUUGUGAUGAAAAUCUGCAUGAAUCCUCUGCUCAACAUAAAAGGCUAGAGAUGAUUAGUUACACGGGUUGCCCUCCUGCUGGUGACUUUGCUGUUUUAUGGGGCUAUGACUUGAAUAAACUGCGGGCUAAUAGUUCUCAGGAUGUGGCUGUAGCAUCUGUUUCAUCUGGUGCUUUGGCUCCAAGUGCAUCAAAUUUUAAUGGUUCGAAGCCAUGGAUUGAAGGAUCUUCUUUAACAUCUGAAGCGAACUCCAUCAGCUCUAUCUUCAGACCAGAUGAUGAAGUGGGUCCAAGUAAUUUGCAAAGCAAGCCAGAUAGCGACUUUAUUCUGCAACAGAUUUUUGACCUGGAAAGGCUUCAAUUCAAUGAUGGAAAUGAUCAACCAGCUUUGAUUCGUAAUGGAGUGCAACCUGACAUAUAUUUGACUAAAGAUAAAACUUCAGGGAAGCUCUCUGAAGAUCUUGAUCAGCACUGCCCACAUCCUCAAGGUCUUGGUGCUGAUCUUCAAAUGGAAAGAAUACAUCAUGAGCUGGUGCAGCCUCUUCCUUUGCCAUUAUCUCAAAUGGAGCUUCUAAAUUCUUCCUCAAAUUCUGGAAUUCCAUUGCAUGGUGACUUUUGGCAGUGCAAAAUUCCUUCUCAGACUAAUCAGGUGUGGUCUCAAAAUAUGCAAGAUCUUGGAAUUUGUGAAGAAAUUGGCUGCAACGAUGGUUUUAAUGUUCCAGAUGUUGAUCUCACAUUCAGAAACUAUGAAGAACUUUUUGGGGUUGAUCAAGAUCUAACUAGAUCAGCAUUUCACGAGAAAGAUAUUGCCAGUUGUUUGACAAAGAAUGAUGUAUCCUUUGAAAGAACAGAAAAUGGUUACACAAGAGCAAUGGAGGUUGAUUACUGUCUCUUAUUCUACAAAUCAGGACAUAGAGCACAACUCCCCCACACCAUGGCAGGGGAUAUUUCAGUUGCUCAAUCAAAUUUCUUUACUCAGUCGUCUCUUGAAGAGAAGAACAUUGGUUCCUCUGAUCAAGCUCAUCACUUUGCUGGAAGUAUUGAUUAUGCUAAUACAAUCUGUCCAUCCUCAAGUUUGUCAUUCUCUCUUUCAAAGCCCAGUGCUGAAACCAGUGGUUCUGAUUAUCUUGACAGCGGAAUUUCACCUAACAUCAUGAAAGGGGAACCACCAUGGAAUUCACCAGAUCUGGAUAGUGCACAUUCUGAAGCAAGAGAAAAUGCCAUGAUUAGGUAUAAGGAGAAGAAGAAGGCUCGGAUGUAUGAGAAACGAAUUCGAUAUGCUUCUCGGAAAGCUAGAGCUGAUGUACGGAAGCGAAUAAAAGGUCGAUUUGUCAAGGCAGAGGGAUACAAGUCUGACUCUGUUGAUAUGUAGGGAUACAAGUCUGACUCUGUUGGUAUGUCAACGAGCUGUUAGAAGCUAUGCCAUCUCUCUGUGUCAGUUAUGUUCUUUUCUUCAGUAUUCUGUAUGCGGAAGCCUUGCUAUUGCUCUAAAAUAAAGAAAAGCUGCAAUGCUAAAGACUCGGUGUUCCCUGCUAUUUAAAGGUAAGAAAAAUGUAUCCAGUUUGAUUCUCUGGAAGCUUGAAUAGAUGCAGCAGUGGAUGGAAAGCCAAUUUGUCAAGGCAGAGGGUAUGGACCCGAUGCUACUAUAACGCGUCUGUUGAGAAGUGCUUCCUUUAUUAAUUUCAUUUGCUUCUGUAUAUGAUCAAUCUAAAGGAAAUUUAAUAGCAGGUUUGCUCCAUUCUCUUUUAUUGCGUGAAUUUCAACCCUUUUUUUUUUCUCUUUCUAUCUUGCUUAUGUAACAAUGAUAUGGUUCUAAUAACAGCCAAGAGCUGCUAAACUGAAGGUUUGGUAUCCAUAAAAGCUCUAAAUUUUGGGCCCAGCAAAGAAAUUCUUUCAUUUC